CAUUAAGCAAAUUAGUGGCAGUGUUGGUUUAUUUACAUUCCUGUUCUUACAAAUGAUUAAUAGUGGAAAGGAGAGGAUGCUCUUGGAUAUGCAGAUUGCUCUGAGUUUCCUUACAUAUUGUAAUCCUUUGCCAGUACUUUCAUGUAAAUUUGUUACGCAACGUGGACAUCCACUUUCUCAUGAGAAAAGGAGGUACCACCACGGGCUUACAGUAACCAAGGAAGGACCCUUUGACAGCGAGCUGCUGCCGCUGAGAGGAGGUCCUGCGGAGGAGAGAAGCUGAGGGCUGCAGCGGUGCGCAACGUAGGGUAGCCGAGGGCUCACUGCCCCCUCUGAGGUUCAAAUUAAUGCAGCUGAUACUGAUUCAACGAAACGGGAUCUGAUGAGCUACAGCAGAAACGGGUCGGCGUUGUUCCCCUGCUCGUUCCGUUGACUGCCGGCAGGUGGCUGUCGGGCUCAGGGAAUGGUUUCAGCUGCAGUCCGGUAGUGCUGCCGGGCGAGGCGUGAUACCGGCACCGCUGUGACUUAGAAUUCCUGCAAGGAGACUAACUACUGAGCCACAGUACUGACCAUGAUCACAUUUUAUGGCAGCUUUUGCACAACUGUAAAUGCAUUUUCCUGAUCGUGAUUCAGUGAAAUGUCAAAUAUUUUAACGAGCCUAAAAAUAUGUGGUGCUGAUCCUUCACUCCUCAUUUUUCUGCAGCUUGAAUUAAUACCGUGACAGACACUCUGUGUUUCAGUAUUGGUACAGACAUUAAUCUGUUAUGCUCUGCUUGAAAGCAGCUGGCUGAUCAAUGCAGGUGGAAGUUGCUAUGCAUGCCUUGGGUUAUUAUCUUGGCACUAAUAAUCUUUAUGCCUGUAGAUAAUGUAGUGUUUGUGAAAUAGCUUAUUGAUCAGAGCUGACCAUUCCUAUUCCCCUAACUCCUCCUGUUAGACACUUACCUUCUUUUGAUUCUUUUAAUAUAGGGAAAUGCACGUGGAGUUGGUGGGAGAAUGGAGAAGACUUACAUUAGGUGGAGAUCUCAAGGUAGCACAGCCAUGGUGGUGGCAGUAUACAGGGAGAUAAUUCAAGCAUUAACAAGUUCAAAGUAAUAUUUUAAGAUCGUGACUUACAGGAAUUCCCUGAUGUUCUUAUAAUAAUUGUCCAGCCUUCAGCUUGGGCUGCAGUUGUUUGUUAUCAAAAGAAACUGCCGAAUUACCACGAGUCUCUCUUCACUGAAUAAAAUCAGAGGAUGGUUGUGGUUGGAGCAUUGCCAGUUUAUGAUGAUUGACACCACUUUCCCUUUGCUACAUAUGGCGUGGAAAGAUGUGCUCUUAACUGGCAAGAAGAGCGGACACAGGAUUUCAUAAAAGCAGACUGAAGUUCUUUUUCUCCUGCUUACAGCUGGUGUGUGUGUGAUCAGGGAGCACAGCACGGCACUGGCCCAGGCACGCAGUGCUUAGAAGCGAUUUGUUCUUCCUGAGCGCUGUGCACCACCAUGGACGUACCGAGCAGUUCUGUCCUGCAGUGCUGCAGGGCCGGAGCCCUCAGUGCAGCCAGCGCAGUGUUUUCAGGUGAGCACAACUUGCAGGCGGUUUGGGUUACCUUAUGUGUGCCACGGGCGUGCCCGGGUGCGGGGUGAUGUGGGCACUGCCUCAGAACACCCUGGAAGAGGAGAAACUGCUUUCCUGUGCGAGCAGUUGUGGCGGCUAUCAAUCGGUCCUCGCCUUCCUUCCAACAGCCAUCUUGGGGGAAAAAAUUUAUCCGAGGAGGAUUUAUCACCCCUCCUUUUCCAGGUGCCGUCGUGCAACCGUGUGAAUCAUUGACCCUCUCCGUGGCGGAUGGGAAGCGCGGGGCUGCCCUCACGGGGACAGCG
ensembl:lncRNA